rnacentral:tRNA from 2 species
UUAAUAGUAGGUUAAAAAAACUUAAGAAUUGUGGUUUCUUAGAUCUUCGGCUAUUGAGCUCUUUUC